rnacentral:rRNA from 1 species
AUUGAACGCUGGCGGCAGGCCUAACACAUGCAAGUCGAACGAGUGGCGGACGGGUGAGUAAUGUCUGGGAAACUGCCCGAUGGAGGGGGAUAACUACUGGAAAUGGUAGCUAAUACCGCAUACCAUCGGAUGUGCCCAGAUGGGAUUAGCUAGUAGGUGGGGUAACGGCUCACCUAGGCGACGAUCCCUAGCUGGUCUGAGAGGAUGACCAGCCACACUGGGACUGAGACACGGUCCAGACUCCUACGGGAGGCAGCAGUGGGGAAUAUUGCGCAAUGGGCGAAAGCCUGACGCAGCAAUGCCGCGUGUGUGAAGAAGGCCUUCGGGUUGUAAAGUUCUUUUAGUGGGGAGGCGGUACUCGCAGAAGAAGCACCGGCUAACUCCGUGCCAGCAGCCGCGGUAAUUC